UGCACUGAGGAGCAGAUGGAGAAACAUGGGAUUCAUCUGCUAGCACUUUCUCAUGUGUACUUGGUACCUUUACUAAAGCAUAGAUGCACCAAAGCGUUGGCUGAGCAAUUGACAAUUGAAAAUGUAGUAGACAUGCUUCAACUGGCGAGGCUAUGUGAUACACCUCAUCUUUAUCUUAAGUCCAUGAAAUUUUUGCGGAACAAUUUCAGGAAAGUUGAGGAGACUGAAGGUUGGAAGUUCCUUCAACAUCAUGAUCCCCUGCUUGAGCUUGAAAUUUUACAGUUCAUGGAUGAGGCUGAGUCGGUAUGUAACUACAACAUUCCCAAUUUUGCUCAUGGCAUGGUCGAUAGAAUAUUGAAACUUGUCAAUUGGUUGUGCGAUUAUAGGAAGAAGUUGUUUUGUGCAGUCUUGACUUCUUGAUUGCUCUGAUGGUCACUCAAUUAUUAAUUAUUAUUUCAAAAAGUCGCCCUUCUUCUUGAUUCCAACUUUUUUCCAACAAAGAAAGUGAUUUUUUUGUAAAAAUAUCUGUCAGUUGAGUGAGCGACCAUCUGAGGAAUCAGGCAACUCCAAUCUUGACUUGACAUUCGUUUAUGUCUUCUUUUAUCAUGCAUUCAGUGAUGUGAUUAGUGGUUUUCAUUGGAAAUUCGUCAUUUUAGAGGAAGAAGAGGAGGAGGAGACACACACGGGAGCAGAACUUAUAUUUACAGCUAAGCGAAGGGAUGGAUCGUUUGGAGCACAUAUGCAGCGAAGGAUGUACAAGCGUUGGGCCAUAUGACAGCGAGUACUCUUGCCAAGAGAAGCUGCCAUGUAGCAAAUUUGAUACAUGCCGAGGCCUCCAGCUUCUGAUACGGCAUUUCUCUACUUGUAACAGCAGGGCAAAGGGAGGUUGUUCCCAAUGCAAGCGAAUGUGGCAGCUCCUAAGGUUACACGCAUCUAUUUGUGACCAACUUGGCGAUUGCCGAGUUCCUCUAUGCAGGUAUGGCCACCACUGAGUAACUAGUUUAUCCAUCUAUACUUGUACAGACCACUUUGAUUUGUAUAUUUCUUCUUAAAUCCUUAUACACUUACCGUCUCUAAUUGGCGAAUGACAGAUAUUUUGCAAUGACUUUAUCACAUAGUUUGUUGUUCGCCUUUGUAAUUGUCUUGUAGUUGUGAUAUAGUCAGUCCUAGGAAGGUUAUCAAUUCCACAAUGUCAUAUACUCUAUUUGAUUAACGAACAUAACAAUUGUGGCAAAGGUGAAAUGUUACAAGGAAUUAAGAUCUCUUGACUCUUGCCCUCUUACAAUUUAUUACUUCAGAUUGUUAAGGUUGUUCUUGAUGUGAACAUGAACCAUCCAUGAUCCAAGCAGCGAUAGUUGACUUGACACACGGUCCCAUUUCGACUAAAUCCUAGAAAGCAACAUCAUCUUUUAUGACAUGUUCAUUUGGAUCAUUAAUUUCUAGUUUGCAUGCCUCUAUUUUUUCCUGUUCCUAAAAAUAUCUUGAGAGAGUCUUAAUAACAUCUUAACACGUUGGAUUGGAUAAGGUCGAUAUAGGGUGACAUAAAUAUCAAUCUCAUAUAAUGUUGUUUACCUUUUUCUAUCAGUAGGGUCAAUUUCUUGAACCAACUUGAUCAUGAUCAUUCAUAGUAUUUGUCUACGUAGUUGUUAAUUGAUCAUGAGUAUCUUAACAGCUCUACUUACUUUACAGAGAAUUCAAACAGAAAGUGGAAAAAAGGGGCGGCGACGAUGAGCUGUGGAAAUCACUUGUUAGAAAGGUGGUGUCAGCCAGAGCUAUAUCUUCUUUGUCUCUGCCUAAAAGAAAGAGGGUAGAGGAACCAAGAUUGAACCUAAGGCAUCAUCAAACGAGACGCUUUAGAUUGAAAAAUCAGUGUUAACAGUUAGAAAAUUAUUUACUUUUUAGACCUGAGAAGGUAUCAAUUAGGCAGACAUAAAUCCUACUGUAAAGAUUUUUCUUUGUUGAUUAUAUAUAUGUAUUUUGUUAACCAAUUUCUUGUGCUUUACUGUCUUUGUGACAAUUAAUUGGGAGACACGCUUGCUUUUCCACACUAUAGUGAGGAAAAUCAAACUUAAAAUCUAGUGAGUUCAUUGAGUACAUAGUGUACGACUUUUUUAUUAACAAUAUGGAGAAAAAAAAUUAGUUUUUGCUUUUAUAAAUCUAACAGGAAGGGAACCGUACCAAGCAUAGUCUCGAUGGUUGCUUGUUUUCGGCUUCCAUUCCAUGUCCAAGAUACGCUAUAGAGUCCAAUUAAUCUGAAUUUAUGACCUUUUUGUUUACCCACAAAAGGUUAACGUUGAAUUUAUCAAAGUGGUUUAAGGACAUGUGAGUUAAACUGAUGAUCUCAAGAACGCAAUAAUAAUGAAGUAAAUCAUAACGAUAAUGAGAUACAAUGAAUAUGAAGUAAUUAAGAAGGUAAUCUAGAACCCCUAAUGUAGAUGACUAAUGAGUUAUUUAUAGAGAACGUCAACCUAGGUAACUAUUUUUGUAGGUUUCGCACCCCUCAUAAUAUCCCACUUGAUCGAGCACAACUCUUUGGUUACACAUUUAAUGGUGAGAACAAUUGGGUAACGUAUAAUAGCAGAUCAAAGUUACUCCUCACAUGUGACCAUAUCAUUCGUCCACAUGAGCAAAACCGAUUUUACUCCAUUCAAUUUUCAUCAAAGAGACAAAGACAAUUAAUAGAUAUUUACCCAAUACUUUUUUAGUCCCACUUGCUCAAAUACUAGCCAAAAAAUGAGCUGUUCAUUAUUGUAUCUUCGAUAUAAAAAUGUGGACAAAUUUACACUUCUUUACCUGCACUAGUGAAUCGUGAAAGGCAUAGGCAAUUAGGUACCAACCACAACAUUUUACUAUACUUAAACAUGCAAAUUUAUUUCGUCCUCAACAUUUGUUUUUCUUCUACUUCUUUUUUGGUUGAAAUUCGUGGCUGAUUGAUGAAUCUUCAUGGGUUGGUAGUGUGUAAGCCAUUACGCAAUCGGUUUUCCCAUUUUGGAACCUUUCAUAAAUCAGUUAGGAGUGUAUUAUAAAAAUAAUAUAUGCACUGUACAUAGGACUGAAUAUGAACUGCCCCCAGAUAACAACAAUAUUGUCUAGGUAUGCUCAACAACUUUCAAACACAAUUUGAGUUUUGCCGUCAUCCAGAUAACAACGUUGCCUAGUAUUUUCUACGUAGGUACAUCCCUCCCCAUGCUUUAUUUCUUGUCGUUUCUGUUACAUAAAUGGAUAUAAUUCCUUUUUCCUUAUAUAUAUUUUUCGUUCCAUGGUCGAUAUAAGGCGUGAUCGAUCCAUAUUUUCGCACACAAGACCACUAAAACAGUAAGCGUUUUUGUUAGAUUUCUUUCCCAUACCUAUAAUUAAUAAUAUAUGAAAGAAUUUUAUUCAUCUCAUCACAAUUCUUUGUGGUGAUAAAAUAGGUUGAAUAUGCCCAGACAAUUUAAGAAAAACUUGUUUUGGAGGUCUAUCUUUUCUCAAAUAGCAUAUAAAAAUCAUUUUUCAACCAAAUAAUUAAAAAAAAAAGUUUAAUUUCAUUUUUUAAAAUGAAAAUAUUGGUUUUGAGUAAAUUUUCAAGUUUUUUUUUCAUUUUUUGGUGGAAACUAAAUCUCUUUUUCUUUCUUGGUAUUUGGUUAUGAAAAUAUUCCUGUUUUAUUUUGAUUGAUGUUCUUACUAAAAAUAUUUAUUUCAAUUUAAUUAUUUCAUUUAUGAAAUCAAGAAAAUUUUAUUAUGCUUUUUCAAUACUAUUCUAAUUAUUAAAUGAUUAUAUAAGAUUUAUGUAUUCAAAUUUAUAUUAAUCAAAUAUAAUUUAUAAAAUUGAUUUGAUAAAAUAAAUUUAUAAUAAUUUCUUUUUUGAAAUAAGUGUCAAGUGAAAGGUCAAUUAUUUCAAGAGGGAAGAAGUAUUUUUUUCCUAGAUUGGAGUAUUUUUGUGACUGGAGUAUGGAGCAAUGAUGAGAAAGCAGCCUUUUCAUUCAUGGAGGAAACAUUUUGACCAUAGCAAAACGUACGUAACCAACAACCGUCGAUUAUGGCCUUUGUAUAAUCUUAGAAUAUGUCAAACACGUACGAGAAUCAAAAGGGACGCCCAAUAGAAAUUAUUAGAGGUUCUCACAUCCUUUAUUUAACAGAAACCUAAUUAAGAAGUAUAAUUAGUAUUAAUUCUAAUCUCCUAAGAAAAAGAAAAGUUAAAUUUCAGAAUUUAUAAAUUUAAAAUUCAAAAUCGAUUUUUAAAGUUGGUCCUCUUUCUAAAAAUAUUUUUAACAAUUUAGUUAUCCCUUUUGAUGAAAUUAAGAGUAUUUUGUUAUAUUCUUUCAAUAUUACCUUCAACAUUAAAUGACUAAAUAAAGUAUAUUUAUUCAAAUUUAUAUUUUUAAAGCAUAAUUAAUAAAGUUAAUUUAAUAGAAUAAACUCUUAAUUAAUAUUUUUUUAAAGGAAGUGUCAAGUCGAAAAAAGGUUAACUAUUUUAAAAUGGAGAGAGUAUAAUAUUAUAUUAUUACAUCCAGCUAUGCGGCUACCACCACAUCGUCCGCCAUGACGCCAGGUGGAGGUGAGCUAAUUACAUAUAUUCUACUUAACUUCAAUUUUAUUAAUUUUUGGGACCAUAAGAAAGCGUAUGAUUUUAAUUAAGCUUCUUUAAAGAUUCCUAGUCUUUGCUCUAAUUAAAAACUUCUCUAACUAAGAAUACUAUAACUAUUAUGCCUGCGGUCCUGGAUAAAGAAAGGGUCGUUUGGUACGGUUCUUCGGAUACGUAAGUAUAUUUUAUGAGAUUAUAUGAGAUGACAAUUUGAUCAUUUUAUUAUAAAUGUUGAGAUAAAAUAAUUUAAUAAUUAAUUAAUAAAAAUUAAUAUCAAAUUUUAUUCAAAAAAAUAUUUUCUUUAUCGGAUGUAUCAAACGGCCCCUCCUGAAAAGAGUAGCAAAUUGCACAUUGCAUGCGAUGAAAAAAAAUAUUUAUCUAGAUGUACCCGGCCUAGACUUCAUGCAAAUAUGUCGAAUAAAGGUUAAUAUUAUUAUUUUUUCUUUCGGUAAAUAGGUCAAUAUCAAUUUCUAUUCAAUUCAUGUAUGACAUAAUUUAGAUUUUGAGAGUCAAAUAAAAGUUUAUUUGACUGUGAUUUAUUUUCUAAACUAUGACUUCUUAUGACUUAAAUUAUAUACAAAUGCAAGGUCAAAAUAAGAAAUUUGAUUGUAGCAGUAUUAUGACUUUUUUUUUUUUUUGUUGAAUAUUGAUGUUACGGUUCUAGAAAAUCUUUUGUGAAGGUUCUAAGUUUGUUGCAAACAAUAUCCUUAAUUUUUUUCUUCUUUUUUUUGUCUUUUAAUUAAUUUAUUUUUUUAAAAGAGAGAAUCUUCCACGUGGCGCCUUUUUGGUUUUGGGUUAGCAACUCUGAGCUGCUUAUAAAUACAGAAGGUUUGGGCAAAGUGGUAUUACCAAAAAUUAACACACUGAUAUUUUCAGCUCCUCUUUUUCAGACGAAAAUUAAUUGAACAAUAUCAUAAAAUUCCAGAAGAAGAAUUUGUAAUUAUCAUGUCAUCCGAUAACUGUUCAGGCGAUAUCGAUUUAUUUUCCGGCGAAAUGUCUGAGACUGAUAUCCAAGUCGUCACCUCCGGCGGCCUUCGUAUUCCCGCACAUUCCGCCGUUCUGGUACGAACACCUUAACUAAUCACAUAAAGUUUAAAGUUUCCGUUAAAUUCGAUUAAUUAUAAGUCAAUUGAAACUAUAGUAAUCCAUUACAUUAAUCAUUUUAUGAUUCAUUUCUGUCCAUUUGGAAUUCCUUUACUUUUUAAAAGAAGAAAAUCUAGCACUCCUCUGUAUUAAUUUACGUGUCAUAGAUCGAGUUACGAGAAUCAAAGCAGCUUAAAUUUGUAUCUGAAUUUUUAAGUUCUUUGCAAUGAAAUUUAUAUAUUUGAAAACUACUAAAAAUUACUAUAGGUUACGAUAAUUAUAUAUGAAAAAUUACAGUCAAGAGACAGACUUGUUUGAAUCUCUACACAUAAAUUGGAAUGGAAUGUUAACAAAAACUUUUUUCGUUUCCAAUUUGAGAAGUACUGAUGUAUGUGAAAUGUAUUUGUAGGCUUCUUCUUCGACGGUUCUGGAGAACAUACUAGUUCGGCCGGAAAAGCUGCGGAGCUCUGAGAGAACGAUUCGGAUUCUAGGCGUGCCGUGCGACGCCGUUUCCGUGUUCAUCCGGUUUCUCUAUUCUUCUAAGUGAGUUUCCUAAAUACACGCAAUUCCAUUUGUUUUCUUCAUUUAUAUGUUUAUUUAUGUCGAAACGGUACACUUGAAUUUGUAUAUGAGGUCUAGACACGCGUAUCCUUACCCAAUACAUUAGUAUUUUGAUUUUGUUUACUUGUUUAAUCGCGUUGAGACUUCGAAUCUGAUUGGCUCCGUCGAAGCUGGAAUUGAAUAUUCUGAAUUUGACCACAAGUUGUAGAUUGUUUUUGGCUCAAGUUUCGGUUCCUUCGUUGGUUGGAAAAUAGGUAGUUGGAAUUCAAAGGCUAAUCUGCCUGACUAUUUCUUAAUUGCCUACAUGUGACUCAUUCAUUGACUCGUAGAUUUUUUAAUCAUAUAUGAUUUGUCUUGCUUCAUAUUCUGUUGGUCGCGAGAUAGAUGCCUCGACUUCAUUGACUCGUAGAUUUUUUAAUCAUAUAUGAUUUGUCUUGCUUCAUAUUCUGUUGGUCGCGAGAUAGAUGCCUCGACCGACAUCUCCGUUGUCAUUGGAAUGAAUUACAUGAGGAUUUACGUUACAUAGGAGUUAGGAUUAUGAUUGUUAAACAACCAAUAUAUUUGAAUCAUUUGUAACAUGUUACUUAUUCUCAUUUUCAUAUAGUAUUUACCAAUUCUGUUUAGUUAUAGUAAAGUAACAGCUGCAUCUACUUAGAUAAUCCUCCAUUUCAUCUUAUUUGCGGUGUUUGAUUAGAGACGAGGUUUAAGAAAGAAAUGAAUGUAUUUUGAACUUUAUAAUUAUAAAUCUGUAAUGACAUUAUAGAGGCUAUAAAAAUAUCUCACUAAUGAUUAAUAAGUAGUUCAAAAUCUAAUUUACAAAUAUGUAAUAGAGGUACCAUUUUUUUAAACACACGUGAAAAAGUGUCACGUAGAAUGAGAUAGACGAAACACAUUUCCAGUAUCAAUAUAAUAAUAUAAUAUAUAAAUUUUUUGAUGAAGUGGAUUAGCAUUGCUAAUGUAAAAUAUCCUUUUCAAUUUACUUAGUUUAAUUCAAUUGUACAAGUUGGUUAUAUUAUUUUCUAGGCUACCAUUUUAUACUUAUUAUCCCUGAUAGUCAUCUUUAAAGUAAUUAAUCAGGUGGUGUAAAAGUCAUCAAAGUAUCAGAAACUUAAAACCAAGUCAAACUCUAUUAAAUCGUACAAAAAGGCUUAGUGUGUAAUAUAACCAAGUUGUCCUUUUAUUUAGGUGCACUGAAGAGCAGAUGGAGAGAUAUGGGAUUCAUCUGCUAGCACUUUCUCAUGUGUACUUGGUACCACAGCUCAAGCAGACAUGCACAAAGGGGUUGGCCAAGCGAUUGACCAUUGAAAAUGCAGUGGAUGUGCUUCAACUUGCAAGAUUAUGUGAUGCACCAGAUCUAUACCUCAGGAGUAUGAAAUUUUUGUCUAGCAAUUUCAAGAAAG
rnacentral:lncRNA from 1 species